CAUUUUUGGGUGACUAUCUCCAUCUUACGAGGCAGCAUUGGAUAUCACUCCUUUCUCUAAUACUGCCUGGUAAUGAUGAUGAUACUCAUCUGC
rnacentral:pre_miRNA from 1 species